GGCUGGGCCCAGUGCAGUAAUGUUUAUAACCAGUUACAGAUUUCUUUGUUUCUUCUCCACUAUCACUGUUUCACUUGACUAGCCUUAA
rnacentral:Y_RNA from 5 species